ACCACAUGUGGUUAUUCGGACCAGUCAGGCCCAGAAGAUACCUAGGUACUUGAUCUGAACUAAUGCAGAAACCGGAAUAAACGUUCAAACCAACAUACGAAGGCGAUUAAGCGCUUAGUCAUGAAGUGGCGUCACCGUCGCGUUCCAAGAUCCUUGUCGCUUCUUCCACGAAAUCGGUCGUUACGUAGCCUAAGCUUCAUCACCUACUCGUCUCUACGACGGCGUGGUUGUUUCUCUGGGGCGUGUAUAAACUGCGUGCGAGUGGUGAAUCAGAAGUGAAUUCACAUAAAUUCUGAAAGUUACAUAGCGUGGGGAGAUUGUGGAUCUAAGUUUGCAGAGUGUGAAGUUUGUAGAUUGAAGCUUGCAGGUUCUUCCCGGUUUAAAAGAGCCUUGUGGAUUGAGCUUCAAACGGUUUCAACACAGUGACCAAAAAAGGCUUCACUUGGCAUGGUCUUGAUGUAGGCAUGGUGGGCAGAAUUGCGAGUCAUCUUCAAGGCAAGAAAGGCAAGUUCAAGCUAUGGUGACCAAUUUGGCAAAAGCUUGAUUAAUGGAGUAAAUGGUGGCCAUGGAUGAACAUGAGAUGCUACAAUGAUGAAGAUGUGAUUAGUGUUAAGAACCUAGGGUGAAAAAAAUGAUGGUUGACUUUGGUCAAAUGUUUGACCAAAAAGUCAAUAGUUGAUAAAAAGUCAACUUUUGUAAAAUUGAAUUUUGAUUUAUUUUUGUAAAGAACAAUGUAUGCUUUGCUUAAAUGAAUGAAGAAUUUGUAUUUUAAAUGUAA